rnacentral:rRNA from 1 species
UACAGAGGUCUCAAGCGUUGUUCGGAUUCAUUGGGCGUAAAGGGUGUGUAGGUGGCGCCGUAAGUCGGGUGUGAAAUUUCGGAGCUUAACUCCGAAACUGCAUUCGAUACUGCGGUGCUUGAGGACUGGAGAGGAGACUGGAAUUCAUGGUGUAGCAGUGAAAUGCGUAGAGAUCAUGAGGAAGACCAGUGGCGAAGGCGGGUCUCUGGGCCGAUAUUGACGCUGAGGAGCGAAAGCGUGGGGAGCAAACAGG